GUGUGUUAAUGAUGGUCUGUCUUUAAACUCAAAGAGGAAGCAGACCUGAUGCUUAACACUU
rfam:Gasterosteus aculeatus cont1.006383, whole genome shotgun sequence.